CCGUCAGUCCUUAGGACCCAGGGGGAGGCCGGCCGGCCUUUCCUUGAGGGCUGGAGACUUGACUUUGCAUUGAUUUGCCUCCUUCUUCCCUUUGCAGAGGAGAACCAUGGCUGCCUUCUGAUCCUUCCCGGGAAGGGAGGCGUUCGGCUCGGACCCAAUGGCUGCGGCAAACAAGGGCACGAAGGCCAAGGCCACGGGGGUGCGCUUUGCCCCGACGCAGACGGUGGAGGGCUCCUCCAGCCACGUCCAUUUCGACGAGAAGCUCCACGACUCGGUGGUCAUGGUCAGCCGGGAGAAGGACGGACACUUCCUCGUCAAGUGUGGAUGGAUGGCCCCCGGAGGCAACAUUCUCAUGAAAUGCACGGAUGUGCCGGAGAGGAGGGCCGAAGGGGCCGGAGAUGAAGGAAGGAAGGAAGGAGCGUCGGAAUCAGGUCAAUCCCUUGUGAGGACGGGACGUGUGGCACGCCUGCCAGGUGAAGGCUGCCUGGGCAGAUUAAUCUGAAUUAAAGGCUCAGCGGAGCAGCAAACACACGUGGACGGAGGACGGCGGCACACCCACCGAGGGCCUGCUGCGGGCUCCUUGGAGCAGGAAUAACUGGCUCUCAGCCAAUGCAAAGGGGCCUCCAAAGGCCAUCCAGACACAAUCCGAGCCCUCCCGACCGGUGGCCUUGUGGGGAGCUGAUGUGGCAGAGAAUGGAAUCCCUUUUGGAAUCCCUCAGCUUUGCCACCAAUAUUGUACAGAGGUGAGGUGUCUGAUAGGAAUGUGAGGCCGGGAUGGAACCCUUUUUUGAUCCCACACACGCACACACACAGAUACCACCACUUAAUAAAGAUGUUUUAUGAGAGAUGAUGUUAAUUGAUUAUUUGUUUGAUUAUCUUCUUCUUCGCUGCCACCAAUGGAGACGUCAGGCAGAUGGUACUGGUUCUUAUAAGCUUUCUCUAUUGGUUCCACUUCCGGUGUUGAUGUUACUUAACUUAAUAUGAGAGUAUGACAGAGGCUUGAUUUGAAUAAAAUCAAAACAAUGUGUUGUCGAAGGCUUUCAUGGCCGGGAUCACAGGGUUGUUGUAUGUCUUUCGGGCUGUGUGGGCCAUGUUCCCGAAGCAUUCUCUCCUGACGUUUCGCCCACAUCUAUGG
rnacentral:lncRNA from 11 species